GAUGAACGCUGGCGGCGUGCCUAAUACGUGCAAGUCGAGCGAACAGACGAGGAGCUUGCUCCUCUGACGUUAGCGGCGGACGGGUGAGUAACACGUGGAUAACCUACCUAUAAGACUGGGAUAACUUCGGGAAACCGGAGCUAAUACCGGAUAAUAUAUUGAACCGCAUGGUUCAAUAGUGAAAGACGGUUUUGCUGUCACUUAUAGAAGGAUCCGCGCCGCAUUAGCUAGUUGGUAAGGUAACGGCUUACCAAGGCAACGAUGCGUAGCCGACCUGAGAGGGUGAUCGGCCACACUGGAACUGAGACACGGUCCAGACUCCUACGGGAGGCAGCAGUAGGGAAUCUUCCGCAAUGGGCGAAAGCCUGACGGAGCAACGCCGCGUGAGUGAUGAAGGUCUUCGGAUCGUAAAACUCUGUUAUUAGGGAAGAACAAAUGUGUAAGUAACUAUGCACGUCUUGACGGUACCUAAUCAGAAAGCCACGGCUAACUACGUG
rnacentral:rRNA from 1 species